ACAAACUUGAUAACUACUAUUGGAUCGAAAAAGGAUGUUCGGAAUUUGUCCACAUCAUCAUAGUAAAAAUUUCACCGUGACUCAUCAAUAAAUCCAUGAGUAAAAUUUUUACUUGUGAUGAUGUGGACAAAUCUCGAAUGUCCUUUUUUAUCUAACAGUAGUUUCCAAAUUUCC
rnacentral:pre_miRNA from 1 species